UACGUAGGGGGCCAGCGUUGUCCGGAUUUAUUGGGCGUAAAGAGCGCGUAGGCGGCCGAGUAAGUCCGACGUGAAAUCUGGAGGCUCAACCUCCAGCGGUCGUUGGAAACUACUCGGCUAGAGUCCGGAAGAGGAGAGUGGAAUUCCUGGUGUAGCGGUGAAAUGCGCAGAUAUCAGGAAGAACACCGAUGGCGAAAGCAGCUCUCUGGGACGGUACUGACGCUGAGGCGCGAAAGCGUGGGGAGCGAACAGG
rnacentral:rRNA from 1 species